CCCCUCGUGGCGGAACUGGCAGACGCGCCUGGCUCAGAACCAGGAGUCGAGAGACGUGUCCGUUCGAAUCGGACCGAGGGGA
rnacentral:tRNA from 1 species